GACGAACGCUGGCGGCGCGCUUAACACAUGCAAGUCGAGCGAGAACCUGGGCUUCGGCCCUGGGGACAGCGGCGAACGGGUGAGUAACACGUGGGUAAUCUGCCCUCGGCAUCGGGAUAGCCCGGGGAAACCCGGAUUAAUACCGAAUAGCCCCCGGAGCCUUCGGGCACCGGAGAAAAGGUAGCUCCGGCCUCUGGCCGAGGAUGAGCCCGCGGCGGAUUAGCUUGUUGGUGGGGUAACGGCCUACCAAGGCGACGAUCCGUAGCUGGUCUGAGAGAACGAGCAGCCACCCUGGGACUGAGACACGGCCCAGACUCCUACGGGAGGCAGCAGUGGGGAAUCUUGCGCUAAUGCGGGAAACCGUGACGCAGCGACGCCGCGUGGGGGAAGAAGGCCUUCGGGUUGUAAACCUCUUUCAGGAGGGACGAAGCUACUCGGGUUAAUAGCCCAGAGGGUGACGGUACCUCCAGAAGAAGCCCCGGCUAACUACGUGCCAGCAGCCGCAGUAAAAC
rnacentral:rRNA from 1 species